rnacentral:rRNA from 1 species
CUAACAAGGAUUCCCCUAGUAACGGCGAGUGAAGCGGGAAGAGCUCAAAUUUGUAAUCUGGCGGCCUCUGGUCGUCCGAGUUGUAGUCUGGAGAAGCGUUUUCCGUGCCGGACCGUGUACAAGUCCUUUGGAACAGGGCGUCGUAGAGGGUGAGAAUCCCGUCUCUGACACGGACCGCCGGUGCCAUGUGAUGCGCUCUCGAAGAGUCGAGUUGUUUGGGAAUGCAGCUCAAAAUGGGUGGUAAAUUCCAUCUAAAGCUAAAUAUUGGCGAAAGACCGAUAGCGAACAAGUACCGUGAGGGAAAGAUGAAAAGCACUUUGGAAAGAGAGUUAAACAGUACGUGAAAUUGUUGAAAGGGAAACGCUCCAAGUCAGUCGCGUCUUCCGAGACUCAGCCGAGCCAAACCGCUCGGUGCACUUCUCGGUGUGACGGGCCAGCAUCGAUUUCGACCGUCGGAGAAAGGUCGGGGGAAUGUGGCACCUUCGGGUGUGUUAUAGCCCUCGGUCGUAUGCGACGGUGGGGAUCGAGGACCGCAGCGUGCCGUAAUGGCCGGGGUUCGCCCACGUAACGCGCUUAGGAUGCUGGCGUAAUGGCUUCGA